rnacentral:rRNA from 1 species
GACGUGGGGGGCAAGCGUUGUCCGGAAUUACUGGGCGUAAAGGGCGUGUAGGCGGCCUGCCAAGUCAGCUGUGAAAUUCCCCGGCUCAACCGGGGGACUGCAGUUGAAACUGGCGGGCUUGAGUGCAGGAGAGGAGGGUGGAAUUCCUGGUGUAGCGGUGAAAUGCGUAGAUAUCAGGAGGAACACCGGUGGCGAAGGCGACCUUCUGGCCUGUUACUGACGCUGAGGCGCGAAAGCUAGGGGAGCAAACAGGAUUAGAUACC